rnacentral:rRNA from 1 species
GGGUCAGUAGGUUGGUCGUGCCACCGGUACGUACUGGUCUCACUGAUUCCUCCUUCCCGAAGAACCGUAAUGCCAUUAAUUUGGUGUUGCGGGGAAACAGGACUGUUACUUUGAAGAAAUUAGAGUGUUUAAAGCAAGCUAACGCUUGAAUACAUUAGCAUGGAAUAAUGAAAUAGGACGAUCGAUCCUAUUUUGUUGGUUUCUAGGAUUGACGUA